CGCGUAGGUGGUAGUGUAAGUCUGAGGUGGAAUCCCAGGGCUUAACCCUGGAACUGCCUUGGAAACUGCAUUACUUGAGUCAGUGAGGGGAGGGUAGAAUUCCUGGUGUAGCGGUGAAAUGCGUAGAUAUCAGGAGGAAGGCCUGUGGCGAAGGCGGCCCUCUGGUGCUGAACUGACACUGAGGCGCGAAAGCGUGGGGAGCAAACAGGAUUAGAUACCCUGGUAGUCCACGCCCUAAACGGUGGGCACUAGGUGUAGGGCUCGUAAGGGUUCUGUGCCGAAGGGAAACCAUUAAGUGCCCCGCCUGGGGAGUACGGCCGCAAGGUUGAA
rnacentral:rRNA from 1 species